CAGUGAAAUUGAACUCGCUGUGAAGAUGCAGUGUACCCGCGGCAAGACGGAAAGACCCCGUGAACCUUUACUAUAGCUUGACACUGAACAUUGAGCCUUGAUGUGUAGGAUAGGUGGGAGGCUUUGAAGUGUGGACGCCAGUCUGCAUGGAGCCGACCUUGAAAUACCACCCUUUAAUGUUUGAUGUUCUAACGUGGACCCGUGAUCCGGGUUGCGGACAGUGUCUGGUGGGUAGUUUGACUGGGGCGGUCUCCUCCUAAAGAGUAACGGAGGAGCACGAAGGUUGGCUAAUCCUGGUCGGACAUCAGGAGGUUAGUGCAAUGGCAUAAGCCAGCUUGACUGCGAGCGUGACGGCGCGAGCAGGUGCGAAAGCAGGUCAUAGUGAUCCGGUGGUUCUGAAUGGAAGGGCCAUCGCUCAACGGAUAAAAGGUACUCCGGGGAUAACAGGCUGAUACCGCCCAAGAGUUCAUAUCGACGGCGGUGUUUGGCACCUCGAUGUCGGCUCAUCACAUCCUGGGGCUGAAGUAGGUCCCAAGGGUAUGGCUGUUCGCCAUUUAAAGUGGUACGCGAGCUGGGUUUAGAACGUCGUGAGACAGUUCGGUCCCUAUCUGCCGUGGGCGCUGGAGAACUGAGGGGGGCUGCUCCUAGUACGAGAGGACCGGAGUGGACGCAUCACUGGUGUUCGGGUUGUCAUGCCAAUGGCACUGCCCGGUAGCUAAAUGCGGAAGAGAUAAGUGCUGAAAGCAUCUAAGCACGAAACUUGCCCCGAGAUGAGUUCUCCCUGAGACUUUAGGUCUCCUGAAGGAACGUUGAAGACGACGACGUUGAUAGGCCGGGUGUGUAAGCGCAGCGAUGCGUUGAGCUAACCGGUACUAAUGAACCGUGAGGCUUAACCUUACAACGCCGAAG
rnacentral:rRNA from 1 species